UUUUUCUCGAAUUUAGAAAGAACAUAUAUAAGAUCGUGGACAUUAAGCAAGGAAGAAGUCUAAUUGCUUUUAAGAUAUCCUCUUUAGCUGUAUAGAUUAAAAAGUAGGCAUGAGCCACCGCACCCAGCCCAAGGAAUCUAUUUUUAAAACCUCCUAGAACUAAUGAAUUCAGCAAGGUUGCAGGAUACAAAAUAAACAUACAAAUAUCAAUUGUAUUUAUAUACAAUAGUGAUAAACAUGUGGACACCAAAAUUGAAAAUGUUUUUUCAUUUAUUGUCACUCCAAAAAAUGAUAUACUUAGAUGUAAAUCCAAUAAAACAUGUACAAGACUUGCAUAAUAAAAACUAUAAAAUGCUGAUGAAAGCAAAGAAUAUCUAGAGAAACAUACUAUAUUAAUGAGUGGGAAAACUCAACAAAAUUAAGAUGUCAGUUUUCCAAAAAUUGAUCUAUAGAUGUAAUCACAAAAUAAAAAUUAUUGCCAACACCAGUUGCUGGUGAGGAUGCAGAGAAACUGGAUUAUACAUUGCUAGUGAUAAUAUAAACUGGUACUACUGUGAAAAACAAUUUGGCAGUGUCUUAAAAAAAUAAAUAUGCAACUACCAAAUGACAAUAAUUACACUCCUGGUCAUUCAUUCCAGGUAAGUGGACACUUAUGUUCACACAAAAGCCUGUACAUGAAUGUUCAUAACACCCUUAUUCAUAAUAGCCAAAAACUGGAAUCAACCCAGAUGUCCUUCAACAG
rnacentral:lncRNA from 10 species